AACACUGUCGUCGUCGCACUACUCCCAAAUUUGAAGGUUGUCGUUGCCGCACUGCUCCCAGAUUCCAACGCUGCCAUGGCCACACUGUUCACCCACUCCUCGAGCUCACACGUCGCCACCUUCGUUUGGUUUCAGAUGCACCCACUCAUGUUCAUUCUCUUCGUUUCCUGUUCCAAAACCUUGAAAAAAAAUCAAUUGAAUGUAGUCAAAUGAAGGAGAAAUUUGUCUAAAAUUUUAAAAAAUAAGAAAUGAAGAAAAUAAACAUGAAAAUAGUCGAUUUAUAUUUGAAAAAAGAAAAGAAAAUGGUUCUGAUUUUCACCCUCCUAUUCAGGAAGCCAUACUAUAUUCAUGGUGAGAAAGUGAUAUCUCUAUUGGUUAUACUGAAAUGUUUAAUUCUGCCAUUACACUCUAUUUGGAGUUUCUUCAAAUUGCAGUUAGACAUAGUAAGAAAUGAAGGUUUCUCUGUAUAGCAGGUUAGGUGGAUUUCUUCUGUCCCAUUGAAGUCAUAUGACACUCUUGGUUUGGCAAGCAUUGUAUUUCGCAGCAAUCGUAGAAACCUAGGUUUUAGUUAAAGUUCAAACCCUUAAGUUGGUGUUAGUAAAGUCCAAUGAGGAGGCUAAUCUCUAUUUUCUCUUCCAUUUUUUGUUUCUGAGAGUUUAAUUUUUUUGGUAUUGUGUGUUACUAGGUUUGGUGAAUUCCAACUUAAGUUUAUGCCAUUUUUAUGAUAUUUGAUUGGUUGAUGACGUUUUUCUAUUCUUGUGUGCAGGAGCUAUUUGGUGGUCAACCAUGGGAGUCACACCAAAGUUUUUUGUCACGGAUGGUGGUGUGUCAAUUCUGAUGGCUCUUUUUGAGUUGUUCUAUUUGAUUUACUGAAGGUAGAACUUAUGCUCUCAGCUUGAAUGCCUGUCUAAGUGAACUUCUUAUAAAUUAGUUUGUGGAUACUUCAAGUUACAUGUGCCCUGAGAGCUUCUUGCUGACAUACUAGUUCAAAGUCAAAUAUAUGGUCCUGGAUGUUGAAUAUAUGAAAGGACUGUCCACAAGCCAGCAUUUAAAAUCUUGGCAAGUUGCUUAUCAUAAGGUUAUUCAAGUUCAAGGGCAAAGCGGCCAUGGGAGAGUCAAAGCAAUUGGUUCUUGAUGCAUGGAGAACCUCAUCUCAUAACUGAACUUGUCAAAUAUUUUCAAUGGUUAUCUUGGAAAAGGUAAACGUUGGCUGCUGCAAAAGUGGGCUUUUCAACUAGGUGACACCCCUACACAGAAGAAACAAGCAGAUUUGUUAUCUUCUUGUAAUCUGAUUCCAAUUCUUCUACGAUCGAUUCACCUAGGAUUCGGUUCAAUUCUUAGUAAAAUAGAUUUUUAGCUCUUCUGGCUUAGCUACCUCUUGUAUAUUUCAAUGAAAUAUUUCUGUAUGAAAAGGUAUUGUGCAUAAUUUACCUUCUUUUGGAUUCUUUUUUCGUAUACGUUUUGAAAAUUCAAGGAAAAAUUAGUAUCCCAUAACCAUCAACUUUUGAAAGUAAAGUAAGCAUUUUGUA